CACCCCCAGAAAUCAUACUUGCAUAUAUGGAAAUCUUAUCAUAAACCUUUAUCUCUUAAAUACAUAGUAAAUCUCAUCCCAUCCAAAUCAAUCAGAAUAAAAACUCACAAUUCUAUCUGAAACUACUUGGGGAGAUUGAAUUCUACUGGGUCCAGAUGGAAGGAGGGGAGUCCUCAUCAAUGACUUAAAUUAACAGGAUUCUGUUUCCAAGUUCAACAUUCAGCAAUAAAUAGCUAAAAAAACUAGCUAAUAAUGUAUACAAGACCUCCUGAUUCCAUUUGGAAAAUGUUACAAGAUCAUGAAGUCCAGAGAGCUCCAAAAUUUGCCUUCUUAGACAAUUUUGCCUUGCCAAGAAAAUCUCCAGCUUAGCCACUUUUUACGAACUUAACACUGCAACA
rnacentral:misc_RNA from 1 species